GCCCCGCCCUCCAGGUGAUUUGGACUACAACUCCCACAAUUCCUAACAGCCGGGACGGCUGUUAGGAAUUGUGGGAGUUGUAGUCCAAAUCACCUGGAGGGCGGGGCCAAGCUGGCCCAUGCUUGUAAACAUAGCAGGCCUCCUGACCGCAUAUGAGUUCUUCCUGCCCGCCUGUAGUUUGAACAUUAUUGCCUAAUAAAACUGCAUAUCAACAGGGAAAGGCUAGCAAGGAGGGAGGCCAAAAUGAAAAGGUUUUGCAGCUUGGCCAACCAGGAAUGACCUGAACCCAGUCUGGACUCCUAGCAGACGGAGCCAAGCAUGCCUCGCUAAGAAGAGAACACUGAGUGGCUUUAUUUCUUCCUUGACCACCUUUCAUAAUGAGGAACGGGAAAUAUCAGCGAUGAUCCUGACUUUGGUAUUUAAUUAUGAUUUAUGUAGUUGUGCAUGUUUUUAAAAACACCCAAUAUAAGCAAUUACUAAUAGUAAAGUCAGUGCCCUAUCCAUUCAUUUCGCCUGUUUGUCAUCGACAGCUUUUGAAGGCAAGGAGUGUGCCGAGGAGUCGUGUUUUAAAUUAAUGCAUCAAUUUAAUAUCUUUCGUGCCGUUUGCAUUUUUACAAGCUGCAAAUAUUCUUCCUCCAAGAUUAAUAUAUAAUUCCAUUAAGGUUAAUUAGUUGUUUUACAUCCCGACAGCUACUUAUCCUGUGAUAAUUCAUGCCAGCUUUUGGCAGUGCAGAGGGUUUUAAAGACUUGCAGCAGUUUACGGGAAAGUAGCUGUCUACAUUUUGCAGAAAUCCUCUGCUAAGAUGGUUGUUGCAGCAGGACCGCCUUUCGCAAAAUGUGGGCGAAGGAGAGAAUUGGGUCCAGUGCCCUCUAGUGCUUUCGGGUUGGACUUGCAACACAGAAUCCCAGAAUCAUCGAGUUGGAAGAGACCCCAGAUGCCAUCCAGUCCAACCCCAUUCAGCCAGGCAGGAACACACAACUCCUCUGACAAAUGGUCAUCCAGCCUCUGUUGAAAAACCUCCAGAGAAGGAAGCUCCACUGGAUUCCCAGACAGCAUUUUCUGUUGUUAAACAGCUCUAACCAUCACGAAGUUCUUCCUAAUGUGUUCCACCAAACACAGUGCCCAAACACGAGUCAAGGAACAUGAAAGGCACUGCAGACUAAAUCAACCAGAAGUCAGCCAUAGCAGAGCCCUUGAUGAACCAACCUGGACACAGGAUAGUAUUUGAGAACACAGAAAUGCUGGACCACUCCAACAACUAUCAUGUCAGACUACACAGAGAAGCCAUUGAAAUCCACCAUCGUGUGGACAAUUUCAACAGAAAGAAGGAAACCAUGAAAAUGAACAAAAUCUGGCUACCAGUAUUAAAAAAAACGCCAAAAUCAGAACAGUAAAUAAGGAGCAACACUCUGAAAGCAGAAGAAUUCCAGAUAUGAAUCUGGGGGCCGGGCUGUGGCGCAGCUGGCUAGUAACCAGCUGCUAUAAAUCACUACUGACCAAGAGGUCAUGAGUUCGAAGCCAGGGUCGGGUUAAGCCUCUGACCAUUAAAAAAAAAAAAGCCCCGGCUUGCUGUUGACCUAUGCAGCCCCGAAAGACAGUUGCAUCUGUCAAGUAGGGAAAAUUUAGGUACGCUUUAUGCGGGAGGCUAAUUUAACUAAUUUACAACACCAUAAAAAAACUGCCAGCAAAACACGAGGAAAAGAAUGAGGAAGAACAGCCACCAGUGGACGGUGAAGCAAAAGCUCCCCCUGUGGCCAGAAUCGUGAAGCUGGAAAGAUGUUAAAUGCCUCUGUGUUUGUCUAAACUGAAUGUUGUUUGUCUAUUGGCAUUGAAUGUUUGCCAUAUAUGUGUUCAUUGCAAUCCGCGCUGAGUCCCCUUUGGGGUGAGAAGGGCAGAAUAUAAAUACUGUAAAUCAAUCAAUCAAUCAAUCAAGGGCAGCUAAUGACUCUGAACAAAGGAUUCCCCCAGGCCAGGAGGUGAGGAUGGGAAGGCCAUUUCAUGCUAACAAAGGUGAUUAAUUACAACAUUCACACUGGCCUCAAACAUACAAGAGUUCUUUUCCCCACCCUGGAACUUCUACAGAUAUAUAAAUCUUCCUUCUUAGUUUCUCCAUAUACCUCACAACCUCUGAGGAUGCCUGCCAUAGAUGUGGGCAAAACGUCAGGAGAGAAUGCUUCUGGAACAUGGCCAUACAGCCCGGAAAACACACAACAACCCUGAUUCCAGCCAUGAAAGCCUUCGAAAACACAGUUCUGUCAGAGUAAUUUACGCAGCGCAGCAGUAGUUGGAUGGAAUCAGUGGAGCGCAGAACGAAGAAACAUCCAGAGACUUUGGUAAAACUAUAUACAAGUUUUAUUGUACAAGACAAACAGACUUUUAGACAAACACAGGACUUGACUAUCACUCAGAACUGAACUGAUGCAAUCAGUAAUGCAUACACACUUGUGUCUGGACACUCCCUGGUUCCAGCCACACAUCAAGGUCAUCACAGCUUCUCAGUAAUUAAUUCUUUCCAGACACUCUGGAUGAUGCAAUCAGUAUGCAAUACUGGCAAGACUCAAAUUUCAUUUAAACACUACCAAUACACAAAUCCCACAUUAACAAGUUCUUCCAAAUGUUUAGGUGGAAUCCUGCACUUUGAAUCCAUUGUGUCCUAGUCUCAAGAGUAGCAGAAAACAAGCUUGCCACUUCCUCAAUGUGAUAUUCUUUCAGAUAUUUCAACUUGGCCACCUUGUCCCCUCUAAACAUUAUCUAUCCCAAAUUAAACAUACCCAAAUUCCUAUGCCUUAGGGCCUGGUUUUUAGACAUUUUAUUAUUGUAUUAUUUUGAUCACCUUUCUCUGGACACAUGUUCAAUUUGUCCAUAUAUCCUUCUUGAAUUGCUUUGCCCAGAACUGGACACAUUCUUACUCCAGGUGAAGUCUGACCAAAACAGAAAAGAGUGGGACUAUGGGCGCUUCUAGAAGAGUCAAAAUGCGGGUCAAAUAAGUAGGGCAAAAAUCAUGGGACCUGACAACAAGCCCAAGCACAGACCUGUCAGUCCUGGUAAAUGCUCCACGACUAUCCUGACACCUUCGUUUGUCACAGAUUUGGAUAAGGGACAUCUCCUGGAAGUUUACUUUUAUAAAAUUGACAUUCUGAGAUGCGCUGGACCUCAUGUGGAUAUCUAAAUGUACACACAAGCACAUUUCUUAUUAUAGUAGUGUCUCACUUAUCCAACAUAAACGAGCCGACAGAACGUUGGAUAAGCAAAUAUGUUGGAUAAUAAGGAGAGAUUAAGGAAAAGCCUAUUAAACAUGAAAUUAGGUUAUGAUUUUACAAAUUUAGCACCAAAAUAUCAUAUUUAACAACAAAUUUGACAGAAAAAGCAGUUCAAUACACAGUAAUGUUAUGUAGUAAUUAUUGUAUUUACGAAUUUAGCACCAAAACAUUGCAACAUUGACUACAAAAACAUUGACUACUAAAAGGCAGACUGCGUUGGAUAAUCCAGAACGCUGAAUGUUGGAUAAGUGAGACUCUACUGUAUUUAUUUUUCUCCCUACUGUAAACUCUGUUUAAUUUCAUAAAGAUCAGAACAAAGGAAUGGUUGCAGGGAGUUCUCAUUAUAAUUGCUUUCCAUUUGUGUUUCAAUUCAGCCACCUGUGUGCCUGUGGCUCCAUUUAAUUACAGCCCAGAUCAGCUGUUUCGGGAUUUUAAAAUGCAUACAUGUGCUGGAGCAGUCCACAUCAAGGUAUACGAACAAAAUCACAUGUUUUCCUUGACUUCAGGGAUAUACAGUGAUGCAAAUAUGUGCAUUUUCCAGACAAAAUUGGAUUUCAAGCACACCAUUUUAACAUGUGUUUUUCAGUCAUUAAUCUGAAUCAGCUCACAUUUUCGUGAAAUGUCAUUUAGCUGCCACCUAUUUUAUCCCGGUUUCUUCUGCGGUUUAGGGCCUGUGUAGAAGGGCCUUGAGUCUGCACUGCCAGAUAAUCUAGUUCAAAGCAGAUAAUUUGGAUUUUAUUUGACAGUUUAGAAGGGGUCAAAAACUCCUAGAUCCCUUUCACAUGGAUUGUUUUCAAGCCAAGUGUCACCCAUUCUACCUGUGCAUUUCAUUUUCUGCAGAAGUGUAAUACCUUUGCAUUUCUCCCUGUUGAAAAUCAUUUUAUUAGUUUUGGCCCACUUCCCUGAUUUGAUAAGAUCAUUUGGGAUACUGACCCUAUCCUUUAGGGCAUUAGCCCUCCUCCUAGUUUGGUGUCAUCUGCAAAUGUGAUCAGCGUGUCUUCUAUUCCCUCAUCAAAGUCAUUGAUACAGAUCUUGAAUAGCCUUGGGUCCAGGACAACCUAAAGAAGACUUUGUACAACUACAUCUCCCACAAUUCCAUAGCACUAAACCAUGGCAGUUAAAGUGGUGUCCAACUGCAUUGCUUCCACUGUGUAGAUAUCCUCCUAGAGAUUCCUAUAGAUAAAGUUUUAACAAAAUUUCAAAUACUGUAUAUACUCGAGUAUAAGCCUAGUUUUUCAGCCCUUUUUUAUGACUGAAAAAAAAACCUCCUCGGCUUAUGCUUGGGUGAGGGUCCUGGUGGGCUUAUAUUCAGGUUAGUUUAUACUCAAGUAUAUAUGGUAUAUUUAUUAUUUUUCUCUAUUAUUAUUGGUAUUGUUAUAUUUAUUAUUUUACUCUAUUCAUUAUUAUUAUUACAUUUAUUAUUUUACUCUAUUAUUGUUGUUACUUUUACAUUUAUUUUACUCUAUUUUUAUUAUUAUUAAUACAUUUAUUAUUUUACUGCAUUUAUUAUUAUUAUUAUUACAUUAUUUAUUUAUUUAUUUACAGUAUUUAUAUUCCGGCCUUCUCACCCCGAAGGGGACUCAGGGCGGAUUACAAUGAACACAUAUAUGGCAAACAUUCAAUGCCAACAGACAAACAACAUAUAUAGACAGACACAGAGGCAUUUAACUUUUUUUUUUCCAGCUUCAUGAUUCCGGCCACUGGUGGCUGUACUUCCUCAUUCCCUUCCUCGUGUUUUGCUGGCAGUUUUAUGAUGUUGUAAAUUAGUUAAAUUAGCCUCCCGCAUAAAGCGCACCUAAAUUUCCCUAAUUGACAGAUGCAACUGUCUUUCGGGGCUGCAUAGGUCAACAGCAAGCCGGGCUAUUUAAUGGUCGGGGGCUUAACCCGACCCGGGCUUCAAACUUAUGACCUCUCGGUCAGUAGUGAUUUAUUGCAGCUGAUUACUAGCCAGCUGCGCCACAGCCCGGCCCAUUAUUUCACUCUAUUAUUAUUAAAAGGAUACAUAAGCACAUUUACAUUGAAGAAGAUGAAAAUAAUGAUUUAAUCAGAGUUGAACAGUCAUAUCUCAAAUUGCAGUUUUGUGUAAAGAUUCAAAAACAUUUAAACUAGUGAUGCCUCAAUUAAUGUAAUUUUAUUGGGAUCUCGGCUUAUACUGGAGUCAAUGUUUUCCCAGGUUUUUUGUGGUAAAAUUAGGUGCCUCGGCUUAUAUUUGGGUCGGCUUAUACUCGAGUAUAUACGGUAAUCAAAUUCUCAAACCUGCAACCUGCAAAUACUCACUGUACUUGACCAAACGGAACUGCUAUGAUUAUGCAGUGUGUAUAUACCCAAAAUCAGCAAAAAGUCCUUCAGCAGAGUGGAGAAACAUCUGGGAAAACAGAAAGACUGCAAAGGCUUUCCAAUUUUGUUUUGAUUUUUUGGGAAAGCUUUCUCUCCGAGCUUUCUGCUUUCUGGAAAAUACUGAAGGACCCCAUGACUUUAGAGGUGCCCAACAGGUGUGUUCAGCUGGAGUUCAGCUAGGUUUGGCUUUUAACUCGCCCGGUCUCCUAACGACAGAAAUAUGAGAUUAUUAACCAUCAGAGUCCAAGGGAAUUAGCCCAUAGCUGAUCAAUUUAAUGUACUCAGAUUUGCACGGGGUAAAAAUUAACCACUUUGAAUAGUGGGAAAGCAGAGCGGAGCUGCAAAUCUCCCAGUGUCAUUAAGAAUUCUCUCCCACCACGCUCCAUGAAAUUUGCUUUCGCCUCCCAAAUCUUUAGCACUGCAAUAUAGUAAUUUAAAACUUCUCUCGGGCUUUGAGAAAUACAGUUUGGACAUCCCCCAAAUAACUGGAAGGCCAAGUUCCCAAGAGAAUGGAAACAUAGCAAAUAUGGAAUAGAUUCAAGGUGUGAAUGGUUUUCAUUGUUUUGCUCUUUGCAACGCUUGAAAUGUGUGGAGCGAAGAAAGGAAAAUUUAUUGCAAGGCAGAAUUUGUAUUUGGAGGAACAAUCUUUCAUAAUUGAUGCUCAGGCUUUUAAGUAACUGUCUUGUAUGUUGUUCUGCUUAUUACGGGAAUGUUUAAUCUGCUGUUAAAUUUUAUACAUGAAAUGCUGUUAUGCUGUUGUUCGGGCUUGUCCCUAUGUAAGCUGCCCCGAGUCCCUUUGGGGAGAUGGGGCAGAGUAUAAGAAUAAAGAUUAUUAUUAUUAUUAUUA